CAACUUUUAACAACGGAUCUCUUGGUUCUCGCAUCGAUGAAGAACGUAGCAAAGUGCGAUAACUAGUGUGAAUUGCAUAUUCAGUGAAUCAUCGAGUCUUUGAACGCAACUUGCGCUCAAUGGUAUUCCAUUGAGCACGCCUGUUUCAGUAUCAAAAA
rnacentral:rRNA from 2 species